GAUGAACGCUGGCGGCGUGCCUAAUACAUGCAAGUCGAGCGAAGCGGGGACGGGUGAGUAACACGUGGGUAACCUCCUAUCAUACUGGGAUAACCUCGGGAAACCGGAGCUAAACCGGAUACUGAUAGUUGGGUCCGCGCUGCAUUAGCUAGUUGGUAAGGUAACGGCGUACCAAGUCAACGAUGCACAGCCGGCGUGAGUGGGUGAUCGGCCACACGGGAACUGUGACACGGGCCAGACUCCGACGUGAGGCAGCAGUAGGGAAGCUGGCGCAAUGGGCGAAAGCCUGACGGCGCAACGCCGCGUGAGUGAGGAAGGUCUUCGGAUCGUAAAGCUCUGUUAUUAGUGAAGCGGUACGUAAACAGAAAGCCACGGCUAACUACGUGCCAGCAGCCGCGGUAAUAC
rnacentral:rRNA from 1 species